ACCGCGUCCACGCCCUUUGCUCGGGGCCGGAGCGGGAGGGUCCUCGGGCUUUGCGCGCGCCUGGCCGGCGGGCUGAGGCAUACGAGUCGCACGCAGCGCCAUGCGCGGACCCCCUGCCUGGCCGCUGCGGCUGCUCGCGCCACCGAGCCCAGCCGAGCCAGGUCGCCUCUUGCCGGUAGCUUGCGUGUGGGCCGCGGCCAGCCGCGUUCCCGGGUCCCUGUCGCCGUUCACUGGCCUGAGGCCGGCGCGGCUAUGGGGCGCGGGGCCCGCGCUGCUCUGGGGCGUUGGAGCCGCGCGCCGCUGGAGGAGCGGCUGCCGGGGCGGGGGUCCGGGUGCCUCGGGGGGCGGCCUGGGCCUCGCGCGGCUCCUGGGGCUGUGGGCUCGGGGCCCCGGCAGCUGCAGGUGCGGGGCUUUUGCCGGGCUAGGCGCUCCUCGCCUCCCGCGCGCCCGGUUCCCGGGCGGUCCCGCAGCCGCUGCCUGGGCAGGGGACGAGGCCUGGCGGCGCGGGCCGGCGGCGCCUCCCGGGGACAAGGGGCGGCUGCGCCCCGCAGCGGCCGGACUCACGGAGGUCCGGAAGCUCUUGGGGCUGGCGUACCCUGAGCGCCGGAGGCUGGCAGCUGCGGUUGGAUUUCUCACGAUGUCCAGUGUUAUCUCCAUGUCUGCCCCUUUCUUCCUGGGGAAGAUCAUCGAUGUCAUCUAUACCAACCCCACUGUGGACUACAGCAACAACCUGACCCACCUCUGCCUAGGGCUCAGUGCCGUGUUUCUGUGUGGUGCUGCCGCCAAUGCCAUUCGUGUCUACCUCAUGCAAACUUCAGGUCAGCGCAUUGUGAAUAGGCUGAGAACUUCAUUAUUCUCCUCCAUUCUGAGGCAGGAGGUUGCUUUCUUUGACAAGACUCGCACAGGAGAAUUGAUUAACCGCCUCUCAUCAGACACUGCACUCCUGGGGCGCUCAGUGACUGAAAACCUCUCAGAUGGGCUCAGGGCCGGGGCCCAGGCUUCUGUAGGCAUCAGUAUGAUGUUUUUUGUCUCACCUAAUCUGGCCACCUUUGUUUUGAGCGUGGUGCCUCCAGUGUCAAUCAUUGCUGUAAUUUAUGGGCGAUAUCUACGGAAACUGACCAAAGUCACUCAGGAUUCCCUGGCACAAGCCACUCAGCUAGCUGAGGAACGUAUUGGAAAUGUAAGAACUGUUCGAGCUUUUGGGAAAGAAAUGACUGAAAUCGAGAAAUAUGCCAGCAAAGUGGACCAUGUAAUGCAGUUAGCAAGGAAAGAGGCAUUCGCCCGGGCUGGUUUCUUUGGAGCAACUGGGCUCUCCGGAAACCUGAUCGUGCUUUCUGUCCUGUACAAAGGAGGGCUGCUGAUGGGCAGUGCCCACAUGACCGUGGGUGAACUCUCUUCCUUCCUAAUGUAUGCUUUCUGGGUUGGAAUAAGCAUUGGAGGUCUGAGCUCUUUCUACUCGGAGCUGAUGAAAGGACUGGGUGCAGGGGGGCGCCUCUGGGAGCUCCUGGAGAGAGAGCCCAAGCUGCCUUUUAACGAGGGGGUCAUCUUAAAUGAGAAAAGCUUCCAGGGUGCUUUGGAGUUUAAGAACGUGCAUUUUGCCUAUCCAGCUCGCCCAGAGGUGCCCAUAUUUCAGGAUUUCAGCCUUUCCAUUCCGUCAGGAUCCGUCACGGCACUGGUUGGCCCAAGUGGUUCUGGCAAAUCAACAGUGCUUUCACUCCUGCUGAGGUUGUACGACCCGGCUUCUGGAACUAUUAGUCUUGAUGGCCAUGACAUCCGUCAGCUAAACCCAGUGUGGCUGAGAUCCAAAAUUGGGACAGUGAGUCAGGAACCCAUUUUGUUUUCUUGCUCUAUUGCUGAGAACAUUGCUUAUGGUGCUGAUGACCCUUCCUCUGUGACCGCUGAGGAAAUCCAGAGAGUGGCUGAAGUGGCCAAUGCAGUGGCCUUCAUCCGGAAUUUCCCCCAAGGGUUCAAUACUGUGGUUGGAGAAAAGGGUGUUCUCCUCUCAGGUGGGCAGAAACAGCGGAUUGCGAUUGCCCGUGCUCUGCUAAAGGUAUCAUGAGCUCAGUACUGUGCUAAGGUUGUUGGAGGUAGAAGAAUUUAACACAUGGACCCUCCAUCAAGAAGCAUACAGUCUAGCCAGUGAAACAGUGAUUAUUAAUGCAAAAUAUAAAACAGCAAUCCCAAAAUUCUUCUCCUAGAUGAAGCAACCAGUGCGCUGGAUGCCGAAAAUGAGUACCUUGUUCAAGAAGCUCUAGAUCGACUGAUGGAUGGAAGAACGGUGUUAGUUAUUGCCCAUCGUCUGUCCACCAUUAAGAAUGCUAAUAUGGUUGCUGUUCUUGACCAAGGAAAAAUUACUGAAUAUGGAAAACAUGAAGAGCUGCUUUCAAAACCAAAUGGGAUAUACAGAAAACUAAUGAACAAACAAAGUUUUAUUUCAGCAUAAGGAAGCAAUUACUGGUAAACAAUAUGAGACUUUAAUGCAAAACAGUGUUGCAGAAAAAAAACUCAGAGACUAUGAAAUACAUAAACCAUUUAUCAAGUUAUUUGAAAAAUACCUAUUUUUUUCAAAGUGUGUAAAAGAUUGUUUUGAAACGUACCUGUUCUCAAGAUCUUUUUAUUCAGAGUUUUAAUAAUUGUAACUUUUUAAAUGUCUAUAGCACUGAAGUUAUUUUCAGGUUUUGUAUUUUCUUUUCUUGUGGAAUAUUUUAAUUAAUAUAGCAUGGCACCUCAUUUUGUUUUGCGUGCAGUUAAAGAUUGAAGCUAUUGUCAAAUGACAACUUUAAAAAGGCAAUUAUAAAUAAAAAGCCUGAUUAUUUUAGGCCAGUUUACCAAUCACUGUGUAAUUCUUCUGGUAGUAUUCUACCUACUUUUAAGUCUAAUUUUACAGAUAGAAUAAUGGAAAUGGAAAUUUUAACCCUUUAUUCCGAUAAUCUCAUGAAGCAAACCUAACUAUUUAACAUCAGCUGGAAAGAAGGGAACAUUUAUAUUGCCCGUCUCCUGUGUCUUCAAAGGUGUGAGAGCUGAGGAAUAUGUGUUCCUAUUGGGAACUAUGUUUGAAUAUGUGCAGUUUUCAACAUUUUGGCACAUGAAAGCCUUACAAGUUUUAAAAGGGCAGAAGCUUUAUUUUUUGAACAGGAAAAUGUGUUUUUUAAAUUCACAUGUUUGUAUGAGUACUUUUGUGAAGCAAGGCAUGAACUGCUAGGUAUUAUUAAGACUGAAUGAUUUUUGCAUUUAAAUUGUUUGAAGGCAUGUAUUUUGAAAAAUAUCUGUUACAAAUUUAUAAUUUCAAGACAAAUUGAAUCUUAUUUUAUAAUACUUUUGGAAUUUCAUUAAUAAGGCUAAAAUUUGAGGAAUAUAACUAAUUUUCAGCCUUAAGACAUUUAAGUUUGGAAGUCCUUGCUAUUCAACAGAAUAACAAGAAAACUUCAGAAUGUAUCACUCUCCUGAAAAGAAGAUAUUAAUAAGCCCUUUUAUUUAUGGUUAUAGUUUUAUUUAUAGUCUCAAAAUUCCUAAAGCAAUGCUACAACCAUUGAAUUUGCCAUAUUUUGUAUCAGUGCUGUUAAUUUGCUGUUGCCUCAAGAAAAAGUGCUUUUUCUCCAUGGAUGAGGCUAGACCCUAAGAAGUAAUUAAGUCAAUGUAAAUCAAAUGGAAGUUUUCCCAUGAACUAAGCGUUUAUUAGUUCCCUGAUUAGACUGGAAGAAGAAACCACUAUUUCAUGAAAAGCAUGGAAUAUUAUAUUUUAUUGUUCGUAAUUAAUGAAUAAAACUGAUAUGAAUGAAUGUAGUGUUCUUUGAAUUAGUAAACAGUACAUCUGUGACAAUCAUUUUUAACAAGCUCUACUUGUGUUCUUUAUAAAAUGUGAUUUUCAGAAAGCAAACAAAACACAAUUACAAGGUUGAAUCUGAGGAAAAUAAUCCUUGUGCCAUAGAAGUAUUUACAAAAUUGCAUUUCAUUGUUAUGUUUUAUUUUCUGAUACAUGAUGUUCAAUUUUAUCUUUAGGUAAUAUUUUAUAUCAUAGAUUAAAAUUUAUAGUGAACUUUA